rnacentral:tRNA from 1 species
AAGGGUAUAGCUCAGUGGUAGAGUGCGUGCUUAGCAUGCACGAGGUCCUGGGUUCAAUCCCCAGUACCUCCA